CAAAGACCAGCAAGGCGGAGAGAGAACGGAUUCCCUUCGCCUGGAGUCGACAGCUGUGGGGCUGGGAACCAGGGGCAGGCCUGACCAGCCGGUACCUGGCCAGGAUUGGACCCAAGACUCUCCAUAUGCUACAUUGACACCCGAUCCGUCUCUAGCCCUUUGUGUAUCCAGAGCUGUGAGCUGCCCGGAAGCCGUGGAGCCCUCCCUGCAACCUGGCCAAUUUCAAGGUAACUGAAUUUCACAGCAACACUAGCC